ACAGUUUGUGUUUAAUGCAAAUCAAUUUCAUAACAUGAAAAGUUACUAUGAAUCAAAGCAUAAAUACACAAACACAAUAUACAAUCCAAAACAGAUAUACAGCAUUCAGGUGUGAAACAAAAGGGAAUGUUCAUUCACACACACAGUAGCUUGAGAUCUGUUGGAUAUGUUUAUUCCAGUGUUGGUUUCUAAAGAUGGAAAAAAAAAUGACUUUGGUUUUCAAAACUACUGUGGCCAUAUUAGAUUCUGGAAUAUCUAAGCAUCAGUGUGUGACCAUGU
rnacentral:lncRNA from 1 species